GACAGAGGCCUCAAGCGUUAGGCGGAAUCACUGGGCUUAAAGCGUGUGUAGGCGGAUCGUUAAGUGUCUUGUGAAAUCCCCACGGCUCACCCGUGGAAACUGCUGGGCAUACUGGCGAUCUUGGGCCAACUAGGGGCAGCCGGAACAAGCGGUGGAGCGGUGAAAUGCGUAGAUAUCGCUUGGAACGCCGAAGGUGAAAACAGGCUGCUGGGGUUGUGCCGACGCUGGAGAACACGAAAGCCAGGGGAGCAAACGGG
rnacentral:rRNA from 1 species